ACGAACGCUGGCGGCGUGCUUAACACAUGCAAGUCGAACGGGAUUUAGUAGACAGAAGCUUCGGCAGAAGAUUACUAAUGAGAGUGGCGAACGGGUGAGUAACGCGUGAGCAACCUGCCUAUGACAGUGGGAUAGCCUCGGGAAACCGGGAUUAAUACCGCAUAAAAUCGUAGAAACACAUGUUUUAACGGUCAAAGAUUUAUCGGUCAUAGAUGGGCUCGCGUCUGAUUAGCUAGUUGGUGAGAUAACAGCCCACCAAGGCGACGAUCAGUAGCCG
rnacentral:rRNA from 1 species